AUGGUCCUGAAAUUCUCCGUGUCCAUUCUUUGGAUUCAGUUGGCAUGGGUGAGCACCCAGCUGCUGGAGCAGAGCCCUCAGUUUCUAAGCAUCCAAGAGGGAGAAAAUCUCACUGUGUACUGCAACUCCUCAAGUGUUUUUUCCAGCUUACAAUGGUACAGACAGGAGCCUGGGGAAGGUCCUGUCCUCCUGGUGACAGUAGUUACGGGUGGAGAAGUGAAGAAGCUGAAGAGACUAACCUUUCAGUUUGGUGAUGCAAGAAAGGACAGUUCUCUCCACAUCACUGCAGCCCAGACUGGUGAUACAGGCCUCUACCUCUGUGCAGGAG